rnacentral:tRNA from 1 species
GGCCAGUUGACCGAUUGGAAGGUAAAGGUUUCAUAAACUUAAGCACAAUGGUUCGAAUCCAUUACUAGGCCG